rnacentral:misc_RNA from 1 species
AAAGGUCAAAAAAGGUACUCAGAAGUCAGCAUAUACCUGAAGAGAAGAUUUGAGGUCUGUAAUCCCUUUUGCUCCCUUACAACAUAAAAUCAUAGCAAACAAUAAAAUACAAAGGAUAGUAAGGUAUAAAACCAGAACCACUCUCAAAUUAAAUCUGAUUGACAAAAGAACAAGUUUUUACUUAAAGUAAGAAGAAUCUUAUUACUCACAUCAGAUUGACUCUGAUAUAUAAUAUCAGCAUAAGCAUGAAAUGUUAUGCUGCUUAUCCAGAUGGUAAUCUUCAACCCAUGGUAACCAUAUAUUUUCCCAUCCUCAUCAAAAAAGCCAUUCAAGUCAACUGGAUCAAUGCAGUAACUUUCUGAAGCACCCACUUGUUCCUUGCUAGAAACCAGGUAAAUUUUAAUGCAGUCUUUAGCCUCAAUUCCAGCAUCAAUGUUGGAGAAGCCUACGCGCCUUCUUUUCUUGGGCUCGGCGGUGGGAUCGGCGGUGGCUUGUUGCUUCUGCCCCAUUAAUUUUGGCUUGUUAGGGUUUUCAGAGCGGGAAAUGGGAAUGGG